rnacentral:rRNA from 1 species
AGUUGCAAGGCUCUUCGCUCUCACGUUGUCCUUCUUUUUCAGCGUCCUGGCAUUGAAUACUUCGAUUAUAUCCCCUGUUUUUACGAGCUUCGGGUCGUCCAACGAAGAUGAACGAAGGCUGUCAAAGGGGUGGGGCAUGUAGACCAGCCCGCCCUGCUCCCGUAUCUUAUCAAUGGUUUCAUGAAAACCACCCGGCCUGAUUUCUUCCCGUAUAAAAAGCCCUGUGACCUCGCCCAUAUCAGUGGUAAUCUCUUCUCCAAGUAUAAUGGAUUGCCCGAACCUUAAUGCACCCUUUAUUGUGUUGUGGUCU